UACGGAGGAUGCGAGCGUUAUCCGGAUUUAUUGGGUUUAAAGGGUGCGUAGGCUGAUACUUAAGUCAGUGGUGAAAUUUUCCGGCUUAACCGGGAGGCUGCCGUUGAUACUGGGUAUCUUGAGUUUAGUUGAUGUGGGCGGAAUGUGUCAUGUAGCGGUGAAAUGCAUAGAGAUGACACAGAACACCGAUAGCGAAGGCAGCUCACAAAGCUAUAACUGACGCUGAGGCACGAAAGCGUGGGGAGCAAACAGGAUUAGAUACCCCCGUAGUCC
rnacentral:rRNA from 1 species